UCGGGGCCAACCUCCCACCCGUGUUGCCCGAACCUAUGUUGCCUCGGCGGGCCCCGCGCCCGCCGACGGCCCCCCUGAACGCUGUCUGAAGUUGCAGUCUGAGACCUAUAACGAAAUUAGUUAAAACUUUCAACAACGGAUCUCUUGGUUCCGGCAUCGAUGAAGAACGCAGCGAAAUGCGAUAACUAAUGUGAAUUGCAGAAUUCAGUGAAUCAUCGAGUCUUUGAACGCACAUUGCGCCCUCUGGUAUUCCGGAGGGCAUGCCUGUCCGAGCGUCAUUGCUGCCCUCAAGCCCGGCUUGUGUGUUGGGCCCCGUCCCCCCCGCCGGGGGGACGGGCCCGAAAGGCAGCGGCGGCACCGCGUCCGGUCCUCGAGCGUAUGGGGCUUCGUCACCCGCUCUAGUAGGCCCGGCCGGCGCCAGCCGACCCCCAACCUUUAAUUAUCUCAGGUUGACCUCGGAUCAGGUAGGGAUACCCGCUGAACUUAAGCAUAUCAAUAAGCGGAGGAAAC
rnacentral:rRNA from 1 species